CGGACGGGGUGGAGGUAAUGCUUGGGGAUCUGGCUUAUGGAGGGGGGUAACUACGGGAAACUGUAGCUAAUACCGCGUAAUAUCUUCGGAUUAAAGGGUGGGGACUUUCGGGCCACCUGCCAUAAGAUGAGCCCAAGUGGGAUUAGGUAGUUGGUUAGGUAAAGGCUGACCAAGCCGACGAUCUCUAGCUGGUCUGAGAGGAUGACCAGCCACACUGGAACUGAGACACGGUCCAG
rnacentral:rRNA from 1 species